UUCGAAGUUUGUGAGCGCCCGACUCGCCAGCAAGAAAAACGCCACAACAGGAUCCUUCUGCACACGUUCACCGACAUACUCCAGAGGCCAGCGGACUCCACCUGCCUCUUUAUUAUCAGUAGAAGAGUGAGCACCUAGCAACACAAAAUUGAAUCUUUUUGCUGCUUUGGCACCAGGAUACCCAUGGAGCCUACAGUGUGGAAUUGCCUUCUGUUUGAGUUAAGAGAGUGGAUCCUGUUGUCUGCAAUAGGUCCAAUGCAACUUGCUUGUGUUUCUGUGGUGUGACCUUCUAUGGCUGUUUUAUGAACCUGCGUGUAUUCUCCAAGAAGUAGAGGAUGGGAAGUGAGACAUACUCUUGCUCGAUUAUCUGCUGAUCUAGACUUGGAGCAAAAAGGUGGACAUCUGCUGGAAAGUCGCCAUGGCUGGAGGAAGUGCCAUCUAAGUGCUCAGUAAAUACCAGAUGCAUAAGUGUGACUGCCUGCCUGGUGGACCGAUGCUGAGUACCAGAAGUAGGAAGUCUUGGGAAUUCUGUGUCGAACGGAGUAGGAAGUUUCAGGAAGUAUUUUCCUUUAUAAAAUAAGGUUGUGUUUUUAAAAGGGCAAUGUCCCACCCCCAAAAGCAGAGAAAACACAGAAGGAUGAAGAACUGUGAAAAGGUCAUGGACUUUGGAGUUGGGCAGAAGUCAUUCUUCCUGAAGCUUCAGAACUCAGCCAGAGUGUCACUGUCUCAAAGAAGCCUUCCCUGUCUCCAGCUAAGUGGGAUGCCCUGUGAAGUGCACCCUGAGCAUCGCAAGACUUCUCAUAAUUGUUGUCAAGGCUAAUAAUUGUGUACUAACUCACUCCUUCCAGAAUGUCACAUGAAGUUGUUCACUUCCAUCCCAUUCUUCACAACUGUUUUUUAUCUUUAAAGCUUUGGGUGGGAAAGUAAGAAUAAUGGAAACAGACAAGGACCUAAAUGAAUGUACCCUAACCUCCUAUGACCAUCUGAACAUUUCUCCUUUGGCUAUUCCUUGGAAUCCCAUAGUUCUCAGCUCUUCUGCUGCAAAAGAACCCUGUGGGAGAUUUGGAAAAGUGAAGAUAGCAACUUAAGAUAUCCUGGCUUCCUUUCAUCAGCCUUUUUAAUGUUUUCUGGGCGAUUUUUUUAAUGUAACCAGGGUAGAUAACCACUACUCUAGGCAAGGAUUUAUUUUGAAAAGACUUUUUUUUUGACUGUACAAUGUUCUUUGUGAAAGUUAUGUAUCAGUUGGGGUAGGUA
rnacentral:lncRNA from 1 species